AUGCAUCCUAGGUUUUGCACCAUUUCACAAUUAUUAUGAAAUGUAUGUUGACGCUGAAGUACUAAACAGCAUCAGGAACAAUCUGACUCUUGUAGACUCACUAUGAAAACAGACCAUCUAUUGUCUUGAAUAUUUCAGAAAAAUUGGAUUAUAGGUUCAGGGCUGGCUUUUUGGGUUUUCUUCUUUUUUUUUUUUCACUUAACUCACUUAAUACUAUCUAACAUCAAAGGAAAUACUUGUUGUCUUUAUCCUGAACAAAAUCUCUGCAGCUGGGAUACAGAAGAUAUCAGGCAGUGCAAAGUGCAGUAGCCGACACAACAAGUGAUCACUUGCCAGCUACUGACCAUAGGGAGAAAAACAAGUCAAAGCAGGAACCCAAAAGGAAAAAAGAAUAUUUUUGCUCCACGCUGCAUAUCCUUUGAGAAAAGAGGCUUUGGGAACUUGGCUGGAAAAAAGCCCACAACAUUCACUCACAGGACUCAAAGAUCUUUGCCAACCUGGCAAUCUUCAGGACAAACUGUACCCAAAAGAAAUGCAUGCGUGGACACACAACUCUCAUUAGUUUCUGUAGGCAUGGCAUCCAUCCCUAAGUCUGCAAACAGAAUCUGUCAAUCCGUAAUGGCGCCUACCACAUCUUGUUUUCAGGCCUGGUGAAAGCAAUAAGUGGUUUCUGAAAGCAAAGACCAGACAGCUAACGGCAGCUUUGGUGGAAAAGGAAGAUAUGAACACAGCACCUUAGCCACAGAAUUACUUGCUGACUGAGAACAAAGUCUACUCUUGCUUAACUAGCAAGAAGCUCCAAAAAGCAUCACUGCAAGCUCAGCCAGCAACAAAGCCAGCAGAUCUGCUCUGAAAAUAGAAGCAGCAAAAGAGAGGCGGGUGAUGACUCACGGCUUAGCUCUGCUCCUGUUUAUAGUGGCACAAAACAAGAGUAACUCCCUUGAAAUUCAUGAAGUUAACACCCUUUCAAGUAGCCACGCUUCUUGAACAAUUUUAGAUCAGCCUACACUGGUUCAGCAUGAUUCAGCUUUGAUAUUGGAUUGAAUCAACUGGUUUACAACUUGGUGCUGCUCCAAUGCAUUCAGAUCAAUUAUGAGCAACAAGUGCAACUGAGCUGAAGUGUACUGGUGACAAAUAGUCCCACUGUUUGGGUGACACAGAUUCUGCAUCAUAUAGUCUAAGACUCCUCCAGAGAGAAGCUCCCCUGCAGUCACUGAAUGGAUAUCAGUAUAAAUCAGGUGGUAAAGUGUGGGAAGAUAGCUUGACUGAGGGAUUAGUGAGAGUCAUUUGUUGUGUUUCUUACAUUUCCAUGGCAUUACACAACACAAUUUUUGCAGCUUGGUUAGUUCCCUAGCUGGGAGAACUUGCUGAGCACAAGGGUGGGUUGAGGAUUUUGCUUGCUUGUUUGUUUUCCUCUGAAAAGCAGGAGGUUUCUCAUUAAAAGUUUAUGGGAAAUUCAGUUAUAAUAAAGAUGUUUCCAUUUUAGUGAAAAUAUUCACUAGGGGAAAAAUAUUUCUCAGCCAUCUGCACUGUGUGUUUUCAGUUCCUGAAGAAGAGAAAAGAAAGGUGCCUGAUGUCCUGUGGGAAGUCCCAGAAGAGGACUAUAUAGCACAUGCAAAACAAUCCAAAAAGGUUUGGCAACAGACCUAGGGCAAUCAGAAGCACGUAAAAAACACUGAACAAUGCCCAAAUUACUGAGAUAUCCACCAUCAUUAAGCCCAUGUAGAAGCUGAUGGAGGUAUUCUGCUGAUUCAGUAGUGUACAAUGCUCUGAACAGACCCCCCACUUAGAUUUCUGGGCCACCUCAUAGCAAGCGAGAGAAGCUAUCAAGUUGUUGAUUGUCCACCAAGGAAUGGAAGUGAAAACAGCUAAACAUCUGCUAUUCUUCACAGCAACAUUACAGCUCAGCUAUGCAAUUCACCUAGCUAAUUUCUAUGCAAACAAAAUGGUGUGCCAGUGUUGCCAAUAUUCUAAAUCAAGGUUGUAACCUGAAAUGGUAUUAGAGAUGCUAUAAAUAAAGAUAAAUAUCUGUGGUGUGGGGGGCAAGGUAAUAAAAAGGAUCCCACAUCUGUGGGGAUUUGUGGUGCUGCUCAAAGGGAUGGGAUUCAACAGACACAGCUGUUCCUUGCCUGUUGUUGCCUCUGCCCAUACAUUUUAAACAAUAUCCAUAUUUAAUUGAACAUUCUCAGUUAUAUUUUCCCAAGUGCUUUUGAAAGAUCUGUUUGUUUCAUUUUCCUUUGGCAUCUUUAUCUUCCAGCUGCUGAUUUCCUUAUUACUGAAGGCUCCAUCACUCACAGGAGGUCUAGAUCUCAACUGUUCCUGCAUUCAGUAGAUUUUAAGCCAAUGUGGCAGGAUACUAUCCAUUGAGAUAUGAUGGUAUUUUUUUAAAAAGUAACUAUAGUCAGAUCGUGCCUUUAAAGAUGUGUGUGGGAAAAGUCAAUCCCAGGUUUCAUCCCCUUUGGAGCAGCUGUGAGCAGCAUGCAAGCACUGUGUUAUGCUUGCCUCCACGCAUCCUUUUGGGCCCAUCUGUAUACUAAUUUGCUGCCAGCAGAAAAUGUCAACAUAGGGCCUUCCCUGCAUUUGGCUACUGCACUGUGAAGCUGAAGCCUUGAGAAAAAGGGCAUGAGGGGCAUCUAUACAACCGUGUGUGAAGUGAGGCAAGGAUGCUAGAGCUGGGACAGAGCAGCUGCUUGUAACCCCCAGGGCAGACCCUGGGCACAGCUCGCCUAGCCACCGUGCUGGGUGAAGGGGCAACAUUCAUCCAGAGUCUGGGCUACAUCACAUGAACCUGCUCCAUCUUCUUUGUGGAGCCACAGCAGUGGAGUGGAGGCCCACAGGGAAUCAAGCCCUCAUAUAUCUUCAAAACUUCUGCACUCUGAGCUCCACUGCUACCCCCAUUUAAAGUCAGAUAUAUAGGGCAUACGAAAGGCAAAGGAAGCCAACUACAUCUUGGAAAUGAAACUGCUUUCACAAAUUUAGAGUUGUUUUCAUUUUUGCUAGGGCACUGACCAGCCAACUCUGGACCACGAUCCCAACUCCAGGCAUCAUGGCACAUCUGGAGGCCCUGGGGUGGGCACUGCUCUGCUGCUGCCUCUUGUCUCUGCUCAUGGGAGGGAGGAAGAUGAUAGGGGACUGCUGAGAUAUCCCAGAAAAGGGAAAAACAGCUACCCAAGGAAUACAGUGCUGAGACAUCCCAAUGUCUCUGCAAGGAGUCAGCCUGUGUGACCCAAACUCAGCUCCUGGCAGGUCACCCACAUUUGGGGCUAUCUGAGCCCCAAUAACGAGCCUGGCAGCUGUUCCUGCCCCAAGGGCCCUAGCCCAGCAGUGGGGAGGUUGUAGAACAUCAGCAAAUAGGAUGCAUCAAGUGUAAAAUUAGCGUAGAUAAGAGCAAGAGGUAGUCUAGUUCUCCUCAGAGGUGCAAUGUCUUAGUUAAAAACAAUGAAAUUUUGCUCAGCACACUGUACAGUUUCAAGACACAUGCUGGCAUGACUGAAUAAACUCAAACUUUAAAUUCAAACAGUUGAAAGGAAUCACAUACCAGAUACAGACAAAGUUGUUAAGAAAGUAACAGACACUUUAGUCUUUCAUCUUCGGUCUUCUUUAUGGCUCUUUCCAUUAAUUUCAAAGUGGUUAUCACCUCCUUGAAAUUCAGCAGUGUUGGAGGGCAUGAUCGGACAGGGGCUGAAUAAUAGGAUAGAAUUUUAAGGGGGAUGAAGACAUGAAGCCAUGGGAAGAAGCUAUUCAAUCUGCUCUGCUUCAUGCAUUUCUGCAGGAAAUGGAUGUGGCUAACACUGAUCAGAGGUAGGGGAAAUAUAUUUUAAAUAUGUAAAAUGUGUAUGAAAAUAAAUGCACUUAU